GGUAAAAUAAAAUGUUACAUUUUCUCCCAUCACCUUUAUUGAGUAGGCUUCAUUAUUUGACGAAGUCAAUUAUUAUGCUUCUAGAAUCUUAACUCCUAAAGUCAUCCAUGUUAUUUGCCAAAAUAUUGUCAUAUUGAGACAAGUAAGGUCAAUUGGAUUGUUAUGGGAGAGUUGCUCGGUAAGUGAUAUGCUAGAGGAAAAUCAACUAUAAAAUGACUUCAUCUUUGUGUAUGAUUAUUUCUUCAAUAGAUGUCUUUUUACCAUUUACAAUGAUAAAUAUUAACUAUUCUCAAUGUUGCACUAAGUCAACUUCACCAUAAUUGUUUAAAACUUUUCAAAUGUUAAGUGAUCAACUCCAUAUUGUUCAAUAAAUUCAUACACUUUUAUGAGUUGAAACGUGGUCGUGAAGUCAAUUGAAUAUGAGAAUAUUUUUAUUCGAGAACCAAAUCUAUAUUAAUGAUAUCGCAUUUCUUGCUUUCAGCUAAAAAAUUAUUGGAUGUAUUCUAUUUCCUCUUCUUAAUUUUUCUAUCAUAAUUCCAACAAUAUGCCUGAGUAGGGGAGAGAAAAAAAAAAGAUAAUGCAUUCAAAUUUGAAAAAGCUGCAUGCCUGUGUUUAUUGGGAGGUAAGAAUAUUUGGUUCGCCAACUCUUUUUAUGCAUGAUUUCUUUUGCAUAUCUCUUUUUCUGUUGUGGAGUGACAUUUAGACUCCAAGUUUCUCCCUUUUGUGAGGCAGGUGGAAAGUAUUUGCCUGUGUGAGAGAUGAUUUCAAUGAUG
rnacentral:lncRNA from 1 species